GCCAGGCGUGGUGGUGGAUGCCUGUAAUUCCAGCUACUUGGGAGGCUGAGGUGGGAGAAUCGCUUGAACCCAGGAGGCAGAGGGUGCAGUGAGCCGAGAUCGUGCCACUGCACUCUAGCCUGGGCAACAGAGCGAGACUCCAUCUCAA
rnacentral:SRP_RNA from 1 species